rnacentral:rRNA from 1 species
UAAAAAAAGGUAAGCUACUAAGAGCGAAUGGUGGAUGCCUUGACUGGUAAAGGCGAUGAAGGACGUACUAGACUGCGAUAAGCUACGGGGAGCUGUCAAGAAGCUUUGAUCCGUAGAUUUCCGAAUGGGGCAACCCAAUGUAUAGAGAUAUACAUUACCUAUAUAGGAGCGAACGAGGGGAAUUGAAACAUCUUAGUACCCUCAGGAAAAGAAAUCAAUAGAGAUUGCGUCAGUAGCGGCGAGCGAAAGCGCAAGAGGGCAAACCCAGUGCUUGCACUGGGGGUUGUAGGACUGCAAUGUGCAAGAGGUAAGUUUAGCAGAACAUUCUGGAAAGUAUAACCAUAGAGGGUGAUAGUCCCGUAUGCGAAAAACAAACCUUAGCUAGCAGUAUCCUGAGUAGGGCGGGACACGAGGAAUCCUGUCUGAAUCCGGGUCGACCACGAUCCAACCCUAAAUACUAAUACCAGAUCGAUAGUGCACAAGUACCGUGAGGGAAAGGUGAAAAGAACUGAGGUGAUCAGAGUGAAAUAGAACCUGAAACCAUUUGCUUACAAUCAUUCAGAGCCCUAUGUAGCAAUACAGGGUGAUGGACUGCCUUUUGCAUAAUGAGCCUGCGAGUUGUGGUGUCUGGCAAGGUUAAGCAAACGCGAAGCCGUAGCGAAAGCGAGUCUGAAUAGGGCGCUUAGUCAGAUGCUGCAGACCCGAAACGAAGUGAUCUAUCCAUGAGCAAGUUGAAGCUAGUGUAAGAACUAGUGGAGGACUGAACCCAUAGGCGUUGAAAAGCCCCGGGAUGACUUGUGGAUAGGGGUGAAAGGCCAAUCAAACUUCGUGAUAGCUGGUUCUCUCCGAAAUAUAUUUAGGUAUAGCGUUGUGUCGUAAUAUAAGGGGGUAGAGCACUGAAUGGGCUAGGGCAUACACCAAUGUACCAAACCCUAUCAAACUCCGAAUACCUUAUAUGUAAUCACAGCAGUCAGGCGGCGAGUGAUAAAAUCCGUCGUCAAGAGGGAAACAACCCAGACUACCAGCUAAGGUCCCUAAAUCUUACUUAAGUGGAAAACGAUGUGAAGUUACUUAAACAACCAGGAGGUUGGCUUAGAAGCAGCCAUCCUUUAA